UUUUAAAUUGUCCUUCAACCUCUGAAAUGCUGCCUUAUUUCCUCUGCCCACUAAAUUUGGAAGUCCUAAGUACCUUUCUGGAUUGAUCGAACUACGAACACCGAGCAUCCCAACAAUAGUCGUUUUUACAUCCUCCUGUGUAUUUGUACUGAAGAAGAUUGUAGACUUAUUAUAGUUAACACAUUGACCAGAACUAAUCUCAUAUUCUUUUAAGAUAUUCUUCAAAACAGUAGCUCAUCUUUCUGUGGCUUCUCCAAACAGAAUGCAAUCAUCCGCAAAUAAUAAAUGUGAAAUCAGCG
rnacentral:lncRNA from 1 species